rnacentral:rRNA from 1 species
UACAGAGGGGGCAAGCGUUGUUCGGAAUUACUGGGCGUAAAGGGCGCGUAGGCGGCCUUCUAAGUCGAACGUGAAAUCCCCGGGCUCAACCCGGGAACUGCGUCCGAUACUGGAAGGCUUGAAUCCGGGAGAGGGAUGCGGAAUUCCAGGUGUAGCGGUGAAAUGCGUAGAUAUCUGGAGGAACACCGGUGGCGAAGGCGGCAUCCUGGACCGGCAUUGACGCUGAGGCGCGAAAGCGUGGGGAGCAAAGCAGG